AACGAACGCUGGCGGCAUGCCUAACACAUGCAAGUCGAACGAGACCUUCGGGUCUAGUGGCGCACGGGUGCGUAACGCGGGGGAACCUGCCCUUAGGUUCGGAAUAACUCCCCGAAAGGGGUGCUAAUACCGGAUAAUGUCUUCGGACCAAAGAUUUAUCGCCUUUGGAUGGGCCCGCGUUGGAUUAGCUAGUUGGUAGGGUAAAAGCCUACCAAGGCGACGAUCCAUAGCUGGUCUGAGAGGAUGAUCAGCCACACUGGGACUGGGACACGGCCCAGACUCCUACGGGAGGCAGCAGUGGGAAAUAGUGGACAAUGGGCGAAAGCCUGAUCCAGCAAUGCCGCGUGAGUGAUGAAGGCCUUAGGGUUGUAAAGCUCUUUUACCCGGGAUGAUAAUGACAGUACCGGGAGAAUAAGCUCCGGCUAACUCCGUG
rnacentral:rRNA from 1 species